UUAAGCAUAUCAAUAAGCGGAGGAAAAGAAACCAACCGGGAUUGCCUCAGUAACGGCGAGUGAAGCGGCAAGAGCUCAAAUUUGAAAGCUGGCUCCUUCGGGGUCCGCAUUGUAAUUUGCAGAGGAUGCUUCGGGUGCGGCCCCUGUCUAAGUGCCCUGGAACGGGCCGUCAGAGAGGGUGAGAAUCCCGUCUGGGAUGGGGUGUCCGCGCCCGUGUGAAGCUCCUUCGACGAGUCGAGUUGUUUGGGAAUGCAGCUCUAAAUGGGUGGUAAAUUUCAUCUAAAGCUAAAUACUGGCCGGAGACCGAUAGCGCACAAGUAGAGUGAUCGAAAGAUGAAAAGCACUUUGAAAAGAGAGUUAAAAAGCACGUGAAAUUGUUGAAAGGGAAGCGCUUGCGACCAGACUCGCCUCCAGGGUUCAGCCGGCAUUCGUGCCGGUGUACUUCCCUGGGGGCGGGCCAGCGUCGGUUUGGGCGGCCGGUCAAAGGCUCCCGGAAUGUAGUGCCCUCCGGGGCACCUUAUAGCCGGGAGUGCAAUGCGGCCAGCCUGGACCGAGGAACGCGCUUCGGCACGGACGCUGGCAUAAUGGUCGUAAACGACCCGUCUUGAAACACGGA
rnacentral:rRNA from 1 species